AACCAUGUAUGAAUAGUUAAGACUGUUGCUACAUAGGAACAUUAUUUAUUGACCUGUUCCAGGAAUGUUGCUAAUGGAAUCACGUAAUGUCAGUUGUCAUUAGAAAGUCACAUCGAAAUUUAUAAUUCCAGAAUUCAUUGAGUCCUUUUGCUCUGAAUCACACUUGGUGCCUCCGUGACAACCUUCAUUUCCUACUUAGCGAAUCCAAGCCCGGUAGCUUGAGCCCCAGGAAGUUGUUAAAGCAAUUAAAGGCUUCUGUCUCCCAGCACAUUGCUCCGUUACCAUAGUAUCCUCUGCCUCUGAGUCUCGCCUGAUGAUGUCAGUAUGCAUACAGGGGUUGCUCAGAGCAUCUAUGCGGGGAUGAUUCACCCCGCAAUUAAGCCCCUUUCCCGUUGCUGGCUUUCCAGUGUGAUUUCAGAUGUCUCUAGCAAUGGAAGGGUUCACAGUGUACUAAAAAUGGAAGCACCACUCUACCCCUAAAUGUGGAGGGAUUCUAACACCAGCAGAUAUUAAUUUUUGCUGAGCGGUAAAACCAGGUACAGUGUUGCCUUGUACAUGUCAAAAUAUUUCAGGCCAAUAGGAUUUCACAUAGGAAAUUUAAGUAAUGAAGUUCAGGACAUUAUACUUUCAACCUAAAAGAUACAUUUACUAUAAUUAAACUAUUC
rnacentral:lncRNA from 1 species